rnacentral:tRNA from 1 species
AUGGAGCAGCCUGGUAGCUCGUCGGGCUCAUAACCCGAAGGUCGUCGGUUCAAAUCCGGCUCCCGCAA